CGUCCAUGAACAAAACAAACGUAAACGAGAAAGGCGAAGCUUGAAUGAACGGGUUUUUGGUAAGAACAUUUGUGCUUCUCAUGGCCGCUGAUGGCCGUCCUGCGUGCCGCUGCAUUAAUGAGGCUGCUCCAAACCUAGCCUUAAUCACAGAGGAAACCAUGCAGGAGAAACAUCAGAUUCAAAAUUGAUCCUUAAAUGAAAUGUAUUUUUGAGAACUCCCAAGUUUCUCUGAGACAGAUCAAAGCUUCAUUUGCUUUCGGCCGAAACUCUGUGAUCCAAUCAGAUCCUAGGCUCUUAAUCAGUGUCACUCAUGCUUCAUUCAACGCUUCAUUCAACGCUUCACAAUGAGAGGAUCUGUCAACUCUUCCCAGGUAUUAAAUCAGCUUCUCAUAUCAGAAUGUUUGCACACCACAAGUGUUUUACAUUAAAUUGACAAUCUUUGGUUUUCAAAUAUAAUAUGAAGGGAUCUUCUCCUGUGCGUCUAAUAAGCCAUGUUUAAAUUACGUACACUUAAAAUAAUCAUUUUAAUAGCAGUUUAUUAUUUUUGGUUUAAU